GUGCUCACUUCAGCAGCACACAUACUAAAGUGAAACAAUACAGAAAGAUUAGCAUGGCCCCUGUGCAAGGAUGACA
ensembl:snRNA U6 U6 spliceosomal RNA